UCUCCUACGGGGGGCAGCAGUGGGGAAUAUUGCACAAUGGGCGCAAGCCUGAUGCAGCGACGCCGCGUGCGGGAUGGAGGCCUUCGGGUUGUAAACCGCUUUUGUUCAAGGGCAAGGCACGGUCUUUGGCCGUGUUGAGUGGAUUGUUCGAAUAAGCACCGGCUAACUACGUGCCAGCAGCCGCGGUAAUACGUAGGGUGCAGGCGUUAUCCGGGUUUAUUGGGGGUAAAGGGCUCGUAGGCGGUUCGUCGCGUCCGGUGGGAAAAUCCAUCGGUUAACGGUGGAUC
rnacentral:rRNA from 1 species